AAAGUAGAGAAAGUGGAAGAGGAAAGAGUUACCCCAGCGAGAACCGGGAACCGGGCUGCAGACUCUCCGGCCCGGGGGAGGGAUGAGUUUCACUCUGGUUGCCCAGGCUGGAGUGCAAUGGCGCGAUCUCGGCUCACCGCAACCUCUGCCUCCCGGAUUCAAGCGAUUCUCCUGCUUCAGCCUCCCGAGUAGCUGGGAUUACAGGCAUGUACCACUGCUCCCGGCUAAUCUUGUAUUUUUAGUAGAGAUGGGGUUUCUCCAUGUUGGUCCGGCUGGUCUCGGACUCCCAACCUCAGGUGAUCUGCCCGCCUCGGCCUCCCAAAGUGCUGGGAUUACGGGUGUGAGCCACCGCUCCCAGCCAUUCUUUAUGUAUAAUUUUGUAGUCUUUAUUCAAGGCAUACUUUAUCAUAAUCUUUCCCCAUAUUGCUAUGUAGUUUUCACAGUUGCCAUUUUUUAUGUAGUACAGUGCAGUUUCUGUAGUACAGUACACUGUGGUGCUAAAGACAGUUGGCUUUGCUGUCAGAACUGGGUUCAGAUCUGGACUCCACCCAUGACUUGUUAUAACAUGU
ensembl:lncRNA SAP30L-AS1 SAP30L antisense RNA 1 (head to head)